GCUUUGCAGCUGUCAUACUGUGGGAUUUCCAUUUCCCUGAAUUCUGUAAAACCAAACCUCUCGUCUCCUAUAUAAACCCCUUCUCACUACAAUUCCAUUACAACAACAUUAACAAAUAUUAUUCCUCUUCUUUCCUCAUGAUCACCAUGACUCUUUCCAAACUCUUUCUUGCUUUCUUCCUUGUUGCUUUCUUAGUUUCCUCCAACUCUGCUAGAAACCUUCCCACCAAUCCCAAUGUUGACGACCAAAAGAACUUGUUCCACCGUCCUGGACUUGCCGGCGGCGGCCUUGGAGGCGGUGGUGGCCUUGGAGGCGGCGCUGGACUAGGCGGUGGUGCUGGAGCUGGACUUGGCGGUGGUGCUGGAGCUGGACUUGGUGGUGGUGCUGGAGGUGGAGGAGGACUUGGUGGAGGUGGAGGACUAGGUGGCGGGACUGGUGGUGGAUUUGGAGCUGGUGCUGGUGCGGGUGGUGGAGCAGGAGGUGGGCUUGGUGGUGGCGCAGGAGGAGGUGGGGGGGUUGGAGGCGGGGGGGGGGGGGGGGGGGGGGGGGGGGGGGGGGGGGGGGGGGGGGGGGGAGGGGGGCUGGGUUCGGUGGAGGGGCUGGUGCUGGUGGUGGCUUACCUUGAUUGGAAAGGCUCUCAUCAUUUCAUAAUUGUUCCAUGGCAAAAAAGUUGUGACCAUAAUUAAUAUUUUCUGAGAGUGAAAUUAAUUAAGCUAUCAAUGUACGUAUCUAGUAAAUUUAUGGGUAUGUUAUCCGGCCAGUGACAUUAAUGCAAUGCAAUGCCUUCUUCCUAAGAAAAACUGUUGGUAAUUUGCUGCAAGGUAUGUGGGUAUGGUGUUGAAAAUUGCAUGAUUGAUUGAAUAUACAAAUGGCUAAUGAUCCGUCUUUACUCUUUUAUCUCCAAGUAGAAAGUACGAGGAGGUGGAUGCAGACUAGAUACAGUUGGUAAUGGGGGCACGCAAACAUGAAAUAGCCGUGUUACGUCCAUUUAAUUAAUUAUAUCGAAUGAUUCUGAAUGAUAAGUAGUUGGUUGAAAGAUUAAUUAACUACAAUUUAAUAAUAAUUAAAGAUAGUUCAGCUGUCUGUUUCUGUAAUUAAAGAGGGG
rnacentral:lncRNA from 1 species